ACAGCCGCGUCCCUCUCUGAGCUCACUUCCGUCGGCUCGACGCGGAUCGCUCGUCCUCUCCGCCGCCGCUUUUGUUCUCCCACUCGCACCCAGCCACAGCUGUCGAGAGAACGCAGCGAGCCCGGUCGGGAAGCCGCCGCCAAGUAGCGGACCCGUGUUUCUUUUUUUCCAGCACAGAGACGGCCCGGUGGCCACAUGCCAAGCGCAGUCUGCGCUGAGGAUACGCGGCACUCCGUAGUUACAUAACUGGGACUACUUUUUUUUUUUCUUCUAUUAUUGUUGGGGUUUUUCUUUUUUUUCUCACGCUUUUUUCCCCCCUGACCCCCGCACCACCACGACCACCCGCACUCUGAACUCAAAAUGGAGAACGACGAUAAAUACCUGCCCGAGCUGCUGGCGGAGAAGGACAGCCUCGACUCGUCGUUCACGCACGCCAUGAAACUUUUAAACGCAGAAAUUGAUAGAAUCCAGAAAGGCGACACUAAAAAGGAGGCAGAAACAUACCUGGACCUUUUCACAACAAAGAACAUCAAACUAAAGGAACGAGUGCUCAUUCCUGUCAAACAGUACCCGAAGUUCAAUUUUGUGGGGAAGAUUUUGGGACCUCAGGGCAAUACAAUCAAACGGCUACAGGAAGAGACUGGGGCCAAGAUCUCUGUGCUGGGCAAAGGAUCCAUGAGAGACAAAACCAAGGAGGAGGGGCUGAGGAAAGGCGGCGAGCCAAAGUACGCACACUUGUCCAUGGAGCUGCAUGUAUUCAUCGAGGUGUUUGCCCCCGUGCCCGAGGCCUACCUGCGCAUGGCCCACGCCAUGGAGGAGGUCAAGAAGUUCCUGUUUCCUGAUAUGAUGGAUGAUAUCUGCCAAGAGCAGUUCAUGGAGAUGGGCUACCUGAACGGAGGCCAGGAGCACGGAGCCCGAGGCCGAGGGGGCAUGCCAGUCCGGGGCCGUGGCAUCCCUCCUGCCGGAGCACACAGGGGCAGGGGAAUGCCUCCCCGCGGUGCCCCCGCCAGGGGGGGCGUGGCUCGAGGUGGCCCAGCCAGAGGCGGCGCAGUGAGGAGCGCCCCGGGGGGCCGAGGGGGACCCCCUGCAGCACCUUCCAGGGGAGCUGCGGCACCGCGUGCCAGGCCCCCAGCUGCAGGACCCCCCCAGAGGAUGGCCCCUCCGCCCCCCCACCAGCACACCUCCACCGCUGCCCCAGAGAGUUACGAUGAAUAUGGCUACGACGAGAGCUACACAGACACGGCCUACGAGUCAUACGACAGCUAUUACAGUCAGCCGCAGGCAGAGCCAGAGUACUAUGACUACGGACACGGGGAGACCACAGACUCAUACGAGUCGUAUGGCCAGGAUGACUGGAACGGGACCCAGCAAUUAGGUCCAGGGAAGGCCCCUCCCCCCUCCAGAGGUGCCAAGACGCCUUACCGGGAGCACCCCUACCGACAGUACUGAAGCAGACUCGCCACCCUUAACGUGUCGCCCUGUCUACCAUGGCAGCUCUUGCUUUAAGCAGCCCGACAAAAGCACAAGUAUCGGUCACUGAGUGUCCAGAGACUGACAGUCUGCUGAAGUGAGACCGUGCAAACCUCAGCGAGGCCGUACGCGGGAGCAUCUCGGCACGACGGAAGUGGCAGGACGGCGCUCUCGGGGGCGCCCCGUUGAAACAGGAGUGGCGCCGAGCCCAUCUCUGUUCCUGGCAGGGGAGGUGGGCCGGGGGUUGUGGUGGCCGGCUGCCCAGUGACCUACGGGGGGCCAGCUGGCUCAGACUCCCACUGAAAAGGACUCAGGCUGCAGCUGGUCAGCGAAGACAUUCAGCUCAGUGGGAAAACCCGGAAAAACCAGAGACUGACAAACACGUGGACCGCUUUCUACCGCUUCAUGUCAAAUAUUGAAUUACUGUGCAUUAUCCUGGUGUAAUUAUUUUCCAACAUUGAGUACACCCACUCGAAGCCCUUUGCUGAUGGCACGCCGCUGUACAGUUUCCCGCGGACCACCCCCUCUUCCAACAAAUGUAAUUGUUCCAGCCUAAUUUACCAUAAAAUGAGCACUCCUGUUAUAGAGAGCUGUGAAAUUGUUUUUAAUUUCUAUCAACACUCGAAAAAUUAAAUGUGAAACGAACUCUUGAGCUUCUUGCGAGGCUCUUGCAUUCAAAAAGAGUCACGUGACGUCUGCAUUAUCAAGCAUUCGAUGUUAUCGGUCCCUACCCGUCGUGCUUUUCUGGCGUCGAUGCUUUACCGCUGCGUGAAAUUACACACGAGCGCUCGAGAGCCAAAGACGCACAGUGUGCGGACCCGUGUCGCGCUGCGGUCAAGUUCACUGCAAAAAGCUUGCACUCGCCGCCACAUCUUGACAUUGCGCAGCCCCUGCGUGGCCCUGAGGAUAUCGAAUGCUAAUGCGGCCGCCCAUUUGUAUGUACUCGCAUGAACCCUCCUUGCAAAAUGUGCGACACUUUUCAUAACCAAUGCGGGCCCCGCUCUCAGCACUUCAGCAUCCAAGUAUGAUAAUUGGGCGAGAUGGAGCCGCGGGGAGAGCUGCCUGAGAGGAAAGGGACAGAGGGUGAACCCGACAUUACUUACCUCCCUUUGUCUAUCCAUCCGUCCACCAUGCCUCUGUUGAUUUGAUUCCCCCCGAUGCCACUUUCUGCCAUUAUCAGGGAUAUCGCAGCUGCAUGUGGUGCUGAGGUACAUUUCUAGGUCAGAGCUCUACUUUCGGGUAUUAAAAACACAUUUCUCUGUCCUGAUCCACUGGUCAGAGGCAGCAUUAGCCGAAUCCAUUGAGUUUAUUGGAAAAAAGCUAGCAGCUUAAGAGGAUAGAGCGUUGGACAGGAGGUUCCGGGCCACAUCUAAAACAAAUCAUUUCUCAGCCCUUAUGUGCCAUUGUCGAAAAAUAAUGAUUCCCCUGUCUCCUUUGAUUUAAUGAAAGAUAAGCGAUGGUCGUGGAAUCCGUCUCCUCCGGUUGAAUCGAUAAACUUGUCGAGAGCGCGAGGGUGGAAAAAAGAAAGUUAAUGUUACUGGGCGAUGAUCAAUAAAAGUUGAUUUGAAUAUGA